rnacentral:ncRNA from 1 species
GCCAAGUGGGCCAUUUUUGGUAAGCAGAACUGGCGCUGUGGGAUGAACCAAACGUUCGGUUAAGGUGCCUGACACGACGCUCAUGAGAUACCCCAAAAGGUGUUGGUUGGUCUAGACAGCAGGACGGUGGCCAUGGGAGUCGGAAACCGCUAAGGAGUGUGUAACAACUCACCUGCCGAAUCAACCAGCCCUGAAAAUGGAUGGCGCUCGAGCGUUGGACCUAUACCGGACCGUUGCUGUAAGCUGGGCCUAUGCUGUGUGAGGGCAAGCUGCACUUGGUCCAGGCAUGGAGUAACGGCAACGAGUAGGAGGG